UACGAAGGGGGCUAGCGUUGCUCGGAAUCACUGGGCGUAAAGCGCACGUAGGCGGCUUCUUAAGUCAGGGGUGAAAUCCUGGAGCUCAACUCCAGAACUGCCUUUGAUACUGGAGAGCUAGAGUCCGAAGAGGUGAGUGGAACUGCGAGUGUAGAGGUGAAAUUCGUAGAUAUUCGCAAGAACACCAGUGGCGAAGGCGGACUCACCUGGUCCGGGUACGAGACU
rnacentral:rRNA from 1 species